UAUGGGUUUUCUCUCUCUCCCUCACAAGUUCUCCCUCCCUCACAUGGACUCACAUGGGCUAUGUUAAAGGAGCAUGUACUAUGGAACAUUUUGUUUUAUGCACCCUGUGUAUCAUGUUAAACAAUAAUGAUUUUAAAGACAAGCUCAAUUAAAAUCAACCAGAAGAACGUCAUCUUAAUUUUACAGUUCUGAACAUUUUCUUUGUCGCCGAAAGGUCUACGAACUAAAAUCUUUAUCAGAUUGCUGUUAUUUUUCGUCCUCACUUUUGGAGUGUCAGAAUAACACGAAACUUUAAAUCUAGCCUAAGAAAAAUAAUUCCGGCAUAUAUUCAAAGUUUAAUAUUUUUAUUACACUGUGUAUCUCCUAAAAAAAAAAAACUAUAUUCCUUACAGAAAAUUCUAAAUCUCUUGUUUUUAUUCCAAUUUCACCAUGAAUUAUUUGUAAAUUGUCUUUUAAUUUUUUAAGUCC
rnacentral:lncRNA from 1 species